rnacentral:miRNA from 1 species
AAUAUCCUUUCAACAAAUUAUGCGUAUUUAAGGAGAUAGCGCAGCGCAUGCGCAGAACGUAUCUCCUUACCUUUGCACUUUUUGGUAAGAAGAUGUUAAUAGAAGUUGUUCGUCUUCAUGAGGGCUACAACUUUGCUUAAUAUCCUUUUAACAAAUUAUGCGUAUUUAAGGAGAUAGGGCUGCGCAUGCGCAGAACGUAUCUCCUUACCUUUGCACUUUUUGGUAAGAAGAUGUU